AAAGCAAAUCAUUUUAAUACUGUAAGUUUGUUUUAUCUGAAAAGGUUGUAGCUAUAAAUCACUCUCUCUACCACAACCAUUUUCAGUAACGCUUAAGCACAGUUUAACUUUUCUCGGCGGUUUCAUGGCGGCGACUAGUGCAGAUUAUAAUCAGUUCGUCAAUGAGACCUCUUUUUACAACCGUAUGGUUCUGAGUCACCUUUUGCCGGCGAGUCUAUGGGAACCUUUACCACAUUUCCUUCAGACAUGGCUCAGGAACUACCUCGCCGUAAACAUACUCUAAUUCACCUCCGGCUUCCUCUGGUGCUUCUACAUCUAUUACCUUAAACCCAACGUUUACGUCCCCAAAGGUGCUUUUCUUGUUUUUCUUUCAAUUUACGAUAUUCUGUUUUUUAAAAGCACGUAAAUUUAGUUAUUUCUCAACUUUGAAUCUAUUCUAACGAUUUGGCUAAUUUACAUUUUUAAGUUGAAUUUUUGAUCUCUGGAUGAGGUUUGAACUCAAAAUGUACGUUGAAAUUGAAAAAUUGUGCUUUCAAGUUCUGUUUCUUGUGGGGUUUCUUCUAUUUUGUGUUCAGAUUCUAUCCCUACAAGAAAGGCAAUGAUUCUGCAAAUAUCUGUGGCAAUGAAGGCUAUGCCUUAGCACAGUCUUCUUCCAGCUGUAUCUGAGUAUAUGAUCGAGCAUGGUUGGACCCAAUGUUACUCUACAAUUGACCAUUUCAACUGGUUCCACUGUAUCCUCUACAUAACUCUCUAUCUUGCUUUAGUUGAGUUUGGGGUUUAUUGGAUUCACAAAGAGCUUCAUGACAAUAAAUUUCUCUAUAAGCAUCUCCAUGCGACCCGUCACAUCUACAACAAGCAAAACACAAUCUCUCCAUUUGCUGGUAUGUCAAGUUAUGUUCUCAAUCUAUAUUUAAGAUUAUGCUGAGUAUCAAUAGUGACUUGUUUACUUAAAACGUUUUUUCGGUUUUCCAGGGUUCGCAUUCCAUCCGUUGGACGGGAUAAUUCAGUCUUUACCGCAUGUGAUAGCGCUGUUUAUAGUGCCGAUUCAUCUCAUAACACAUCUGUGCCUUUUGUCUUCGGAAGGGAUAUGGACAGCAAACAUCCAUGACUGCAUCCACGGCAACAUCUGGCCAGUAAUGGGUGCAGGAUACCAUACGAUACACCACACCACAUACAAGCAUAACUAUGGCCACAAAACCAUAUUGAUGGAUUGGAUGUUUGGCUCUCUUAAGGCUUCUUUAGCAGAAGAAGACAGUUUCAAGGAGAAAGCAAAGUGAGAAUGUUCAAUGCUCAGUUGCUCACAUCACAUGUCUCUUCUUCAUAUGUUGUUCUUCUCGUGACUCAUCUUAAACCUUUGUAAUCACCUUGUUGGAAAUAAAUAAAUAUAUGUUGGAAUCACUCUUAAACCUCUUUCUUGUUCAACAAGUCACCUGGGUGUGAUCAUAUCGCAUACUUGAGAGUUGAGGCUAAUGAUAGUAAAACGCAAUUUAACCCGCUUAAAGUUUAAUCGUAUUCAAAGGAUUGGCCACAUAGACUUGAAAUAAUCCAUCACAAACCCUCCAUACCAAAAAUUCCUUAAAAAAUAGCAAAUCAUUUAAAUAUUGUAAGUUUGCUUCAUUUAAAUAUUGUAAGUUUGCUUCAUUCGAAAUUUUAGCUACAGAUCUCAAAGCUCCUCCUGUUGGCUAUCUCUCUCUCUCUCUCUCUCUCUAUAAGCACAGUUUGACUUUUCUCGGCGGUUUCAUGCAUGGCGGCGACUAGUGCAGAUUAUAAUCAGUUCGUCAGUGAGACCUCUUUUUACAACCGAAUGGUUCUGAGUCACCUUUUGCCGGCGAAUCUAUGGGAACCUUUACCACAUUUCCUUCAGACAUGGCUCCGGAACUAC
rnacentral:lncRNA from 1 species